rnacentral:sRNA from 1 species
AACUUCGGAGAAAAAAUCCGCACAUAUAUCGUCACAUUACUCUGGGUGCUUGAAGGUUUAUUUAAUUACCUAAUAAGUGGAGAAUGCGGAUAUAUGGAGGCCUAAC